ACAACAGAUUCCAUUCUGAAGCAGGAAGACGUCUGCGCUGGAAUAAAGGACAGGAUGUUUUGGUUCCUGAUCUCUGUGUGAUGCACUGUUGGAGUCACAACGAGUAUCUGCUGAAGGGACAGCAGCUCAGCUCAGAUAAUCAUGAGUGUAGAAGAUUAGUCAAGUUUGAGCUAAUUUCAAACGUUGGAGUCACAGGAAUCCCGCUCCACUUCAUAAAUCCUGGCGUAACUGUUCCAGCUUACUGCAUUGUUUCUUUAUGAUGCACACAUCUGUGCAGAAGAGGAAGCAGCGACGUUCUAUUCAAGACCGCCAGAUGUUCCCCUAAAUGUCAGCUUAAGUUUGAGUCUGUGUGUGUCUCUGAUGUGUUCUUGGAAAGGUCCUAUAGAAGGCUUACAUUUCUCUGUGAUUAAAACCACAUGUUUUA